CCCGCCCCUAUUUUUAUUCUUUUACUUAUAUUUUUAUGUUUACUACUGUGAAUUCUCUUCUGAUAACUCAUUUCAUUGUAUUCCUUAGGUUCUUACUGUCAUUUUUUCCUAUAUUUUUGUAUAUCUACUUUUACCCAAUUUCUGUUAAUUUUUAAAUUUCUGUUGCAAAGUUUUUUCGUAUCUUCAAAUGCUUGAUUAUUUGUAACUCUGAUAGAGAUGUGGCCUUAUAGUUUUCUUCAGCUUCAUGGUAAUUUUUCUGAGUGAAAUGUUACUUGGUUGAUGUGCAUAUGGAAUUUCAUUUUCUAGUUUUUAACAUUAACUGUGGAUUGGUUAGUUGUUCUCUUGCUUGUUUUUGUGAUCGUGGCAUGUUUUCCAGGUUUGUGUGAUGGUGCGUUCUCUGACAACAUAGCAAUGUCCAUAUUCCAAUAAAUGUCUUAGGUUUGUUUGGUGAUCUGAAUCCCCAGUUUUAUAAUUCUCUAUUGUCUUCUACCCUUUCCUUCCCUCUGACCAGUGAAUCAUUGAAGAGCAUGCAGGAAGGUCCUGGCACCCUUGGACCUACCCAGGUCUUUCCCUUUCUCUCUUGUAGUUCUCAAGAAUCUGCUAUAGAAUAUGUGGAGUAUACGGUAUCCUGAGACUUGCGCAGACUGGCCAGGAUGCCCAGGCUCCCUUCCAGUCCUCCCUAGAGACAGCAUGCUCUUCACUGCUCCAGCCCAGCAUGUCACUGGACCCUAGGUUAAAACCCAGGACAGGCUGCUUUCUUGGGUCCCUCAUGAGCAGUCCAACUUGGGCUCAUAUAGUCAAGACUUCCAGGCCACAUUCCUGAAAUGUGAGGACAGCCUGGCAGUGACCCCAAGCCGCUGUGCUUGCAGCCUGAGAGCACCUUGUUUGUGGCAUUCUCUCACCAGACUCUACGCGCCCCUGGCUGGUGCACAGUGAAGCUCUUCAAGGGGAGUUCUUGUCUGCUUUGCCUCUUGCAGAAGCUUCUUCAAAUCACAUGGCUUUUAGGUCCCUUCCUUGUGGUGAAUGUUCCAAUCCACCUGAAUCAUUUCUGUAAACUUUCAUACUCGGAAUCCUCUUUGUCUUUCUGGUGAGAGAUUUAUAUUGUACACAGGACCAGUCUUAGUUCCCCUGUGUGCCUAACCCAUGGAUUUGUUUGAUCAGCCCUGCAACGGUGGGAACACAAGGUAUCUGCACUGGGAUGGGGUGGUUGACUUGUUUUAUGUAGUUAUUUUGAAUUUGGACAUUUCUGUGUCAUCAAGUUAUGAGGGCAGGGUUUUUGUAUGGAUUCAUUUUCCUUCAUACUGUUGUUUAUUGUUGAGGAAGGAAAUGAGGAGAUGGGAACUAUGGUGUACCUUUGUUUAAAGCUCAAUUGAUUCUACUUUUAUGGUUUAUUCUAAUGCAGAUAUGAAUGUGUUCUCAACACACAUCUGUCUGAAAAUUCUAAAAAAAUACAAGGAACAUUUUAAAAUUCUGUAUUUUGUUGAGGUUUUAGUGCCUAUUAAUUACACAGAAUAAUUGGUCUCAUUUUGGCAUAUUUGCACAUGCACAGGAGAUAUUUUACUUCCACCCACCCAUUACUCCCCCCUUGCCCUUCCCUCCCUUCUCUCCCUGACUCCCUUAAAAAUACAAAAGAAACAUAUGGUUCAUUAUAAUGUGGAUAUACACACAUUCUGUGGUAGCUAAAUAUUUAUACCCCUCUGCCCCUGCAGAUUCUUGUGUUUAAGCUUGACCCUCAUAUGAUAGCAUUUGGGGAUGGGGCUUUGGGAGGUGAAUGGGAUUACAUGAGCAGGUCCUUACCUACCCUAAGUGAGGACUUCAUGAUAUUGAUGUCCUUAUAAGAAGAGACACCAGGGAGCACCCUCCUUCUCUGCCCUCACACAAAGAAAUGGUCAUGUAAAUACAGUCUGGUGGCUUCUGCAUAAGUGCCAAGGAACAAAGGCUGACAGGGAAACUUCACUGGCACCUUGACCCAGGGCUACCAGGCUUCAGAACUGUGAGAAAUGCAUUUCUGUUGUUUAAGCUUCCCUAGUCCAGGGUAUUUUGUUAUAUCAGCCCCAGCAGACUUACACACAUUUGCAAGCACACACACACACUCAACUGUGUGCACAUCUGUGUAUCAAUUUAUCAUGUUAACCUAAAUUAAGAGAGAUUCUCUGAAAAUUAGGUUUACUUAGGAGUAGCAAAGCAUUACAAUGGAAAUGCACUUAUUCAGAGAGGUUGAGGGAAGGGAGAAUUUUAAAGGCAAAAUGAGGAGGAUUCCUUAAGAUGUAUUGAAAUCAUAAUUUAUGGCCACAGGGAUUAAUAUCAAGGACCCUGCCUUGAACAGACAGUUGCUGCACAGACAUUCUUGUGAGUAUUUCCCAGUGAGUGAGGCUGUGGUGGCCUCCGAGCAGGGCUGCGGUGCUGGCCUCUCUGAUGAUUGUUACUGUCAGCCACUGUGGGUAAGAAACUACCUUCCAUACCUCCUGGUUCUGUCCAGUUAGUUUUUGUUAGGCUGGACACAGAGCAUCUCCAUUUUGAUUCCGACAACUUUUCAUAAUCACAACUUUUUUUACUAUAGUGAAAAACUGUAUUGAUGAAUAAAUCUUACUAGAGGGUUACACAAAUCAAUUGAUUAUGGCAAAUAUAUUUUGGAGUUUCAUCUAGUAGUACAAAGCAAUGUAUGUCUUUAUUUAUUGAUAUAAAAAUAUAAACAGUAUAUUUAAAAAGCAGUUUAUAAAACAGCUCACAAAGUAUACUCCCAUUUUAUUAAAAAUUUUUUAGAAGGAAAUAUACCCCAAAUAUUGAGAAUAGCUUCUAUUGGGUUUAGGAUUAUACAUAGUUUUUAUUUUAUUUUAUAUUUUUCUAUGUUGUCUAUUUUUCCAUAAGUAACUAUUUUUAUAAUAAAUAUUUUCAUUUGAAAGAAGCAAAAAGCACUGAAUGGAAGUUUAGGGGCAGAGGGUGUAGCUCAGUGAUAGAAAACUUGCCUGGCCUGCAAGAGGUCCUGGAUUCAAUCCCCAGCACCACAAAAGGAGAAAAUUUAUAUAAAUAAGUCCAUUUCAGAGGGAAAUGUAUUUUUCUAGAAAUUAAUGUAUCUGGGGGUUAAAAGCAAAGAGCCACUCUCUAGGAGGGUUGCCAGAUCUAGCAAGUACAAACUCAGAGUCCCUGUCUUAAGGCUGAGUUGCUCUGUUCUGUGUGUUUGAGAUUCUCAGCGUCCUGCUGGGUGGAAGCAGCCCUCGCCUCCUUCCACGUGAGGGGGAAGCAGCGACCCUCACAGAGGAUGGCCGACUUUCCAGAGUUCUCUUGCACUCAGAUGGCAGGCAGGACCCCAGCUUGGUUUUGGGCAGUCCACACUGCCUUGUGCUGUCCGUUCUCUGAUGGCAAAGGCCACUGACAGUUAUGGUAGAUGGGCCCAAUCAGCGUCCUUCCUGUCUUAUCAUCCAGCUUGAAGGCUUCAUUCCAAAGCCAACCUCUGCUGCAUCAACUGGAUGGAAACAUGGUUCUCUGGCCCAGAGUGCUUUAUGUACUGAAGCUGACGAAAUCCUGUAUUCCCAUCUGUCAGCAGCACUUAAUUUGGAACAACCUGGAACUUGAAGAUGAUUAUUGCUUGAAUGAUUACAACGUUUCAGAAGAUUGUACCUUGAAGCUGGUUUUGGCCAUGCGUGGUGGACCUAUAAAUACUAGAAAAGUUCCCAUGGAAGACCCGCUUAGGGAGAUGGCCAAGUACAUGGACCCCAGUCAAGAUGAGGUCUGGGAGAAGGCCUCCUGCAGCAGACAAGUUCCGUUCUUGGUUUACCGAGAAGGAGACCAGUUGAAUUUCUUUUAUGUAGUAGAUAGGGGAGAUGGCACUUUAACACCAUUAUCUGAAUCUUUAAGGUGUGGUUGACCUGGAGGCAAAGGCCACCACCCAUCAGGUACUAUAAGCUGUAAGUCUGUCACUCAUUUGGGGCACAACAUGCUGCAGUUAAGCUAUGGUCUGGUGCUUGGGGAAGCAACCGGAAGCGGUAAGAAGGAUCAACUUUGGAACCAGACCAAGGGGCACUUGGAUCUUGGGUGCUCCCAUCUGCCAGCUUUCUGGUCGCAAGACAAAUCGCUUAACCUCUCUAGCUGCAGUUUCUUCAUUUAAAAUGGGAUAUAAAGUCUGUCUUCUGUAGUUGUACAAGAAUUAGGGAAAUGUGUGGAAAGCGCCUGGCAGAGUCGGCAUUCGGUACCAACAGGCAGUGUUUUGCUGGUGUCAGUUCUCAUUCAGAGCCAUCAGCAUCACUGGGAAGCUACACUAGGUAGCUAGUGGCAGUUGCUGGUCAGUUCCUGCUUUGUCCCUUCUGACACUCAUGCCUGUGUGCAUGUAAUUAACCCACAAUCUCAAAACAUCAUCCGUUUCACCCCAGAAAGUUUAAGAAUGUCCACCAUAUGUUCUGCCCAUGUGCUGUGUCCUUCAGAAGCAUUUAUGGAAUGUGCCCUGUAUGUAUGUCCUGGGAAUGUCCCCAUGUUUUACACCACACAGAACAAGAAUUGUUAUGCUCCAUGCCUUUGUAGCACAACUACAUGCUCUACUAUUCAUGUGAGUACUUCAGGUGCAGUGACUAGUAAGUAUUCUUAUUCUGCUCUGUUUAAAGUUUGAAUCAUUUUCCAAAUAGGCUGAGUGCUGUGUGAGACAGCAUACGGAGGGCCAGUGAGAAUUUACCAGGGCAAGGAUAAUGGUAACAUUAAGGGUUUAUCCUGGUCAGAGUACACUGUCAAGAGGGACAACAGACAAGUUCUAAGAGAGGAAGCAUGCCUUCGGGGUGAGAAAUUGGGGGUUUUGUGAAAGUUUGAGGAUGUGGAAACAGUCUAGGCAGCAGAUAUGAUUAUCUAAAGAAUAUCUUUUUCCAGAUCAUCUAGGACCUUCUAGAACUUCCAGGAGCACCUGCAUUGUGACUAAAAUUGUAUGUUUGAAGUUGCAGUUUAACAAGACCACUUCCUUGAGGGCUCACAGAAGGAAGGCCUUUUAGUUUCAGAUAGAGACUUGUACACAUUAACUUUUAGAGAAGCGGUGGUUCUGUGUACAAUUUGUGUACAGAUGAGGAUGGGGAGGUGGACCUUUCUCCUUCUGGGCAAAAGACCACUGAAAAUUCAAUAACUAUGAAUAAGAUGAAGCUGCUGAAGGCGAAGAUGGAGAGCAUGAACCUCGGCAGAAAGGUAACACAGUGCCGGCCAGGCUUUCUCUAGCUUACCCUGGAAGGGCUGGGUCACAGGGGGAGUGGACAAAG